UCUUUGGAGUUGUGGGUGGUCGUGAAAUCCCAGAUGAGCCCCCAAAAGAAAGACCACCAGGUUGGGGAAGACCACCACUCAAAUUUCAAGACUACACAACUCCCAAGAACUCACGAGAAACC
rnacentral:pre_miRNA from 14 species